rnacentral:rRNA from 1 species
GCCUGCGGAAGGAUCAUUAGUGAAUAUAGGACGUCCAACUUAACUUGGAGUCCGAACUCUCACUUUCUAACCCUGUGCACUUGUUUGGGAUAGUAACUCUCGCAAGAGAGCGAACUCCUAUUCACUUAUAAACACAAAGUCUAUGAAUGUAUUAAAUUUUAUAACAAAAUAAAACUUUCAACAACGGAUCUCUUGGCUCUCGCAUCGAUGAAGAACGCAGCGAAAUGCGAUAAGUAAUGUGAAUUGCAGAAUUCAGUGAAUCAUCGAAUCUUUGAACGCACCUUGCGCUCCAUGGUAUUCCGUGGAGCAUGCCUGUUUGAGUGUCAUGAAUACUUCAACCCUCCUCUUUCUUAAUGAUUGAAGAGGUGUUUGGUUUCUGAGCGCUGCUGGCCUUUACGGUCUAGCUCGUUCGUAAUGCAUUAGCAUCCGCAAUCGAACUUCGGAUUGACUUGGCGUAAUAGACUAUUCGCUGAGGAAUUCUAGUCUUCGGACUAGAGCCGGGUUGGGUUAAAGGAAGCUUCUAAUCAGAAUGUCUACAUUUUAAGAUUAGAUCUCAAAUCAGGUAGGACUACCCGCUGAACUUAAGCAUAUCAA